rnacentral:rRNA from 1 species
GUAAUCGCAGAUCAGAAUGCUGCGGUGAAUGCGUUCCCGGGUCUUGUACACACCGCCCGUCACACCACGGAAGUUGGGGGCGCCCGAAGCCACUUAGCUAACCCUUUGGGAAGCGAGUGUCGAAGGUGAAAUCAAUAACUGGGGUGAAGUCGUAACAAGGUAGC